AAAAUGAGGGGAAGAAACUUUGAAGAUCAACAUUUCAUAAUUUGCUUAUAUUCUUUCAAUUUAAAUUCAAACUUUGGAAGAAUCCCAAAAGAGAAACGUAGAGCAAUGCUUCACUCAAAUAUGAAACAUUUUUCUUCAUCAACCACAUUGUUUUUUCUUUCUUUUGUUUUUGCUAUGUUGUGCACCUCAAAAGCUGUCAUCCAGAUACCAAGAAACGAGACAAUUCCAGCGGUCAUUAUAUUUGGAGAUUCCGUUGUUGAUACGGGCACCAACAACGAUAUCAUAACAACAGUAAAGUGCAAUUUUCCUCCAUAUGGGAGGGAUUUCAGGGGAGGAAUACCAACUGGACGAUUUUCAAAUGGAAAGGUCCUUUCAGAUUUCCUAGUGGACGGAUUAGGAAUUAAAGAGCUCCAACCAGCAUAUAGGGAUCCAACUUUGCAACCCAAAGAUCUCUUAUCAGGUGUAAGCUUUGCUUCAGGUGGCACAGGAUAUGAUCCUUUAACAUCUAAAAUAGCAUCAGUCAUUCCACUAUCUGAGCAAUUACAAGACUUCAAGCAAUACAUAGGAAAGUUGAAAGGAAUUGUUGGCGAAGAAAGAACAAACUUCAUAUUAGCCAAAAGUGUAGUCUUUGUGGUUGCUGGUAAUAAUGACAUUGCCAAUGCCUAUUAUCUUUCUGGAAUUAGGAAAGCCGAAUAUGAUGUUCCUUCUUACACUGAUCUUUUGCUCAAUUUGUCAUCUACUUUCGUCAAGGUAAUAUAUAUAUUACUCGAACUAUAUGGAGUAGGAGUACGGAGGAUUUGUGUUUUAAGCUUACCACCACUAGGAUGUUUGCCAUCACAACGAACUUUGGUUGGAGGCUCAGAAGAAGAGUGUGCAAAAGAGCCGAAUCAAGCAUCACAAGUGUACAAUGAUAAACUUUCCAGGGAGCUGGGUUACCUUAACAACAAUCUGCCUAACGCAAAGGUGGUCUAUAUUGAUUUCUACAACCCUCUACUUGAUAUCAUAACAAAUCCAGAGAAAUAUGGCUUUGAGGUUGCAAAUAAAGGUUGCUGUGGCACAGGAUCUGUAGAGGUAGCAAUACUGUGCAACCAGUUAACCCCUUUCACUUGUACAGAUGACUCCAAGUAUGUGUUUUUUGAUAGUUAUCAUCCUACAGAAAAAACAUACCAGAUUAUUGUCGAUGGAAUCCUUAAAAAAUAUAUCAACAGCAUCGUUUCAAUGCUUCACUCAAAUUUGAAACGUUUUUCCUCAUCAACCACAUUGUUUUUUCUUUCUUUUGUUUUUGCUAUUUUGUGCACCUCAAAAGCUGUCAUUCAGAUACCAAGAAACGAGACAAUUCCUGCAGUCAUUAUGUUUGGAGAUUCCAUUGUUGAUAAAGGCACCAACAACGAUAUCACAACAAUAGCAAAGUGCAAUUUUCUUCCAUAUGGGAGGGAUUUCAAGGGAGGAAUACCAACCGGAAGAUUUUCAAAUGGAAAGGUCCCUUCAGAUUUCCUAGUGAAAGAAUUAGGAAUUAAAGAGCUCCUACCAACAUAUAGGAUCCAACUUUGCAACCCAAAGAUCUCUUAUCAGGUGUAAGCUUUGCUUCGGGUGGCAGAGGAUAUGAUCCUUUAACAUCUAAAAUAGCGUCAAUCAUUCCACUAUCUGAGCAAUUACAAGACUUCAAGCAAUACAUAGGAAAGUUGAAAGGAAUUGUUGGCAAAGAAAGAACAAACUUCAUAUUAGCCAAAAGUGUAGUCUUUGUGAUUGCGGGUAGUAAUGACAUUGCCAAUGCCUAUUAUCUUUCUGGAAUUAGGAAAGCCAAAUAUGAUGUUCCUUCUUACACUGAUCUUUUGCUCAAUUUGUCUUCUACUUUCGUCAAGGAACUAUAUGGAGUUGGAGCACGGAGAAUUUGUGUUUUAAGCGUACCACCACUAGGAUGUUUGCCAUCACAACGAACUUUGGUUGGAAGCUCAGAAGAAGAGUGUGCAAAAGAGCCGAAUCAAGCAUCGCAAGUGUUCAAUGAUAAACUUUCCAGGAAGCUGGGUUACCCUAACAACAAUCUGCCUAACGCAAAGGUGGUCUAUAUUGAUAUCUACAACCCUCUACUUGAUAUCAUAACAAAUCCAAAGAAAUAUGGCUUUGAGGUUGCGAAUAAAGGUUGCUGUGGCACAGGAUCUAUAGAGGCAUCAGUACUGUGCAACAAAUUAAACCCUUUCAGUGCUUUCACUUGUACAGAUGACUCCAAGUAUGUGUUUUUUGAUUGUUAUCAUCCUACGGAAAAAACAUACCAGAUUAUUGUCGAUGGAAUCCUUAAAAAAUAUAUCAACAGCUUCCUUUGA